UGAACGCGGCACUGUCCUUAUCUUCUGGCUGGCGACUUUUUUGUUCCCAGACCAAACUGAGGGUGGGGCUGCCCAAUAAUGAGAUGCAGGUGAAUCUCGCUGCCCAAUAAGAAGAUGCAGGUGAAUCUCGCUGCCCAAUAAUGAGAUGCAGGUCUCAGCUGAGUCUGCUCUGAUCACCCAACAAGACCUAGCUCCCCAGCAGAGAGCGGCCCCACAACAAAAGAGGUCCAGCCCCUCAGAGGGAUUGUGUCCACCUGGACACCAUAUCUCAGAAGACGGUAGAGAUUGCAUCUCCUGCAAAUAUGGACAGGACUAUAGCACUCACUGGAAUGACCUCCUUUUCUGCUUGCGCUGCACCAGGUGUGAUUCAGGUGAAGUGGAGCUAAGUCCCUGCACCACGACCAGAAACACAGUGUGUCAGUGCGAAGAAGGCACCUUCCGGGAAGAAGAUUCUCCUGAGAUGUGCCGGAAGUGCCGCACAGGGUGUCCCAGAGGGAUGGUCAAGGUCGGUGAUUGUACACCCUGGAGUGACAUCGAAUGUGUCCA
rnacentral:lncRNA from 1 species